GGUUAUUUAGUUUAAAAAAAACAAAUGUUUUGAAAGCAUUAAAUAAAUAUAUUUUUAAUAGCCA
rnacentral:tRNA from 1 species